ensembl:lncRNA
UCCGGACGAGAUGAGCAGGGAGGGCAUUGUCAGGAUAGAGGCAGCCUGGACAAAGACAUGGGAGGUGGGAGAUGGAAUAUGGAAUACAUUUUAUGCAUCAUUUUCUUUUUUUAAAGCCCUUAUCUUCAAUACUGUGUAUUGAUUCCAAGGCAGAAAGGGCUCGGCAUUGGGGGUUAGGUGACUUGUUCAGGGUCACCCAGCUAGGAAGUAUCUACGGUCAAAAUAAUAAUUUUUUAAAACUCUUCCAUUUUAGAAUCAAUACUAUGUAUUUGUUCCAAGGGGGAAGAUCCAUAAGGGCUAGGCAAUGGGCCGUAGACAACCAGGACAUAUCUGAAGCCAGAUUUAAAUGCAGAGACAAGAGGUCCUGGGUCUCCGUCCACUGAGCCACCACGCUGCCCCCUUCUUUACUCAUCAUUGCUUCCAUCUUGUUCUGAAGUGCUGGCUCCGAGGUAAAGCCUGGCCUGUGCCUCCAGCAGGACGGAGGGAGAGGACCCGAUGAGUUCCAGCAGGGAAGAUGCAGACCCCAGAGACGCGGGGCUUCCGCUCUCUCACACUCGGAGCAGAGCUUGGCCAAACGCCCAAACCUGGUGUCCUGGGUCGGCGUCCUCCCGGCCAGCCCACGAGGUGUCCGACAAGGAUGUGUACAUUUUCUCAUGGAAGGCAUUCCAGUGCGGGAUGUGACGUCACUGCUGAGUGGCAGAUGCUUUCCUGGGAAAAAAUGUUCCUGCUUGCAGAUCUGCGAGACACAGAGGAAAGCAGGAGUCAGAGCCUUCUUUGUUCCAAUAGGCCGUCUGGGGUGCGAGGAGGAUUGGGGGAUUUCUGGAGCAGAAUUCUGCUGUGGGGGCGAGAGAAGAUGCGAUUAUUAGACGCUCAUUUGACAGAUGAGAAAAAUGGAGGCCAACAGGAUGAAGUGACACACAGCAAAUCUUUGCCUUGCUCAUUGAGUGUAUUUGUGUCUUCCAUGGCUCUGCCACUGAUUGCAGCCCUGCUGGGAUGGAGUAGAUAAUGUUUAAACCUUGCCAUGGCUGAACAAGUCUUCACUCUGUGGAUAACCUGCUGGGUCAUUUCUUUCCUCUCUGGUGGUAUAAGAUCUUUCUCCAGUUUUCCUGGUUUCCAUCUUAAAUUUGUAAACUCCAGUGUCAGAGCUAGAAGGGACCUCAGGAACCUGGGGUCAAGGACACUGGCCUGUCCAGGCCCAGGACCUGAUUCAGCUCUGGCCUCUGACAGUUGUUACCUUUGUGACACCGAGCACUUCCCUGUCCUAUAAAAUUGGACCAACCGGCCUCAGAGGCCUUUGCUGACUCCACAGCUGUGAUCCUGCGUCCUAAGAUAAGUCUCAGUUUCCCAAUCUGUAAAGUGAGAGAGUGGGACGGCACGGCCUCUGAGCUCCUGAUCCCGGAUCCUGGGAUUCUCGCCCAAAGCCUAAAUUUGCAGAAGAAAGAAAUAUUGGGGAGGGAUUGGUCCACGGUCACUGCAGCUGGAGGAAGGGCUGAGGCUCCAGCCUAGGUCUCCUGAUUCCCAGACUUCUGUGCGUCCUAUUCUUGAUGGAUCUUGUCACGCUUAUUUCUCCUGGGAUACCUUUGAGAUAAUAAGGAUGCUUGUAUAACCUCAGCAAGGACAACCUGGCCUGGGACCGACACAGCACCAGGCCUGGGGAAUGAAAAGCUCAUCACUGCCAUUUGCUGCCAUUCCCUCACCUUCCUCUCUGGCAGGGACUGCUCUUUCACUCUUACAGAAAAGGACCUGAUAUACAGCAUAUAUAACACACACAUGAGGCAUUAGAUAUGUGACGUAUAGCAGAUAUUUUAUAGGAGAUACGUAUUUUAUCUAAACAUAUGAGAGAUAUAUAAGAUAUCUAUACACACAUGAGAGAUGUUUUCUAUAAGAUAUAUGAUACACACGUCUGAGAUAUAUACAUAUCAGAUAUUUUAUAUAGAAGAUAUAUAGAAUAUGUGAGAUUUUAUAUCAAAUAUAAAUUAUAUGUAUAUAAAUAAAUAGAAUAUAUUCUCAGAGGAUGUGGAGCA